rnacentral:rRNA from 1 species
UACGUAGGGUGCGAGCGUUGUCCGGAAUCACUGGGCGUAAAGGGCGCGUAGGCGGCGCGGGUAGUCAUCGGUGAAAGUUCAGGGCUCAACUCUGAAUCGGCCGGUGAUACUCCCGUGCUCGAGCACUGUAGAGGCAGGUGGAAUUCCGGGUGUAGCGGUGGAAUGCGUAGAGAUCCGGAAGAACACCGGUGGCGAAGGCGGCCUGCUGGGCAGUAGCUGACGCUGAUGCGCGACAGCGUGGGGAGCAAACAGG